GAUGAAGAACGCAGCGAAAUGCGAUAAGUAAUGCGAAUUGCAGAAUUUCCGUGAGUCAUCGAAUCUUUGAACGCACAUUGCGCCCACUGGUAUUCCGGUGGGCAUGCCUGUUCGAGCGUCAUUAUCCUCCCUCAAACCCCGGGUUUGGUGUUGGACCCAAGUUGUGUGAACAACUGGUCUCAAAGACAAUGACGGCGUCCGUGGGACCCUCGGUGCAACGAGCUUUUAGGAGCACGCAUCGAGUUGCAAGGACCUUCCGGGCCGGUCUCCUUUACCAUUUUACAAGGUUGACCUCGGAUCAGGUAGGAAUACCCACUGAACUUAAGCAUAUCAAUAAGCGGAGGA
rnacentral:misc_RNA from 1 species